GCGCCCGGGGUGUAGGGGUAACACCCAGCCACCGAUUACCGCCAGCUCCAGCCUUCUACGGCAGGUUGCAUCCGGGGUUCGACUCCCCGCGGGCGCG